AUUUGACGCAACCCAAUAAAAAAAAAGCUAGAUAAUUAAUUUUCUAUUUUAAAAAUAAAACAAAGUCACAAAAGUUUACUUUUAGAAUCCCCAAAUCACCCCCGGCAAUCCCUAACUCCUUCCUCACUGAUCCCGUUUCUCUACGGUCGCCGCGAUUCAUAUUUUCCGGCCAGUGAACUUCACAAUUUUUCUCCGACCACCGACGUAUACUCCGCCGUCUCCGUCUCCAUUGCCUGUGGAUUUUGAAGCACAAGAGAAGAAGGGCCCUGGAUUGACCAUUCCAACAAGUUGUCCACAUAGCUUUCUGGGUUGCGAACUAUAAUUGAGACAUAAGGAAGCGUCUGCACUAGGCAGACUCCAUAUGGGGAUGAUCUUUUACUAGUCAAGUCGAGGAAUGAAUGCCUGUUAAGGACUUGAUUAGCUGAUCUGCCAUAGUAGGGUUCCAUCCUCAAGCUAUUAUCAGCUUGGGAAAGGACGAAUUCGCUUCAUUUUGAAGUAGGCGCGCUAUGGAAUUGAAUGCUAGUGUGUCCACAAAAAGGACAAUGAACCCUAGGAAGACAGAUAUUGGAGGUAAACCCUUCAUACUCAUCAUUUGUGGCAGCCUCGUUUACUACCACUGUGCCUAUCGGAAUUCUAGUCUUGUCUCUCUCAUCUCAGACGUCUUUAUUGUACUCCUUUGUUCCCUUGCCAUUCUCGGACUCCUCUUUCGCCAGAUGAACAUCUCGGUACCUGUGGAUCCGCUUGAGUGGCAGAUCUCUCAGGACGCUGCCAACAUGUUUUUUGCCUGCCUCGCCAAUACCGUUGGUGCUGCUGAGUCUGUUCUACGUGUUGCUUCUACUGGCCAUGAUAAGCGCUUGUUCCUUAAGGUUGUGGCUGCUCUGUAUGUUCUAUCAUCUCUGGGAAGGAUAGCUUCGGGUGUUACCAUUGCGUAUGCUGGUCUCUGCUUUCUUUGCCUUUAUAUGCUCGCUGAGAACUUGCAAUUGAUUAGCUCGAGGUAUCCUAGGAGAAGAGACAGCACAGACACAGUUCAGGACGACUAAAUUGAUUUGAUCUGGUUCAAAAGGGAUGAAGGAAGGAGUCAAUGCAUUAUUUACAGCUCUUGCUUCUAGUUAUGCCAGGUAAAAUUAGGCGAGUCAUGACCCAUCUCGAUUUUAACUCAUUUGAGUCCAACCCAUCUGUGCCAAAAGUAAACCUGGACAGGUCAUGAUCCAACCCGAUUUCUAUUUCAACAUAUUUUAUUAUGGAAAAAUUACCAAAUCCACAACUUAAGUUUUCUCACUCUCUCGUAAUUUUUUUGCUUUCGGUAUUAGAUUUUUUUAUCAAAAUUGUUUUAAUUUUUGUUGUUUAUUUUAAAUAUCUGAUACAUUUGAAUUCUCGUCCAUCGUUUAGUAUUGGUCAUAUACCCAUACUAAUCCCUAUUUUCUAACCCUCAUUAAUGGUCUAUGAACAAAUACAUGAAAUCAUUGUUAUUGUUGGCUGACUUGUGCAUCCUUGCACAUGAGUUUGGGAUACACAAUAUUUAACAUAUAUAUCUAGGCAUCUUUCUAUAUCCAUCUGUUGUUUUACUCCGUAACAUCUCUAUUGCACGGUCUUUAGCACGUCAUGCUUUUUGGUACGUAAUAUCAACUCCGUAGGCAGCUUUAAAAUCGUCAAUUAUGUCAUUUGGAGUGUGAAUUCUCUUAUGAUUAACCAAUUUCUAGGCAGUGACACCACUAACAAAGGGUAAGAGAUAGACUGGUCUAUAAAAAGGUACCUUCUGGAACUAGAAGAAGGAAUGUAGGAGUUAGUCUUCAAAGCUAUCCGGCAUAUGGGAAGUCAUGCUCAUUGGCUUGUGGCAGGGGUAACAAUUAUUCUAUAUUGCUGGGAUAAAUAGCCCCUUUCCCAACUCGAACUUUGUUUAUCUGAUGCUUGGCUUUAAAACUUUGUUGAAUAUCCUUUCUUUCAAUGGACAUGUAUGUACACCAUUGAAAUACCUCACUCUGAAUACAACAGAGCUUUUUCCUAAAAGAUGCUUAUAUAGUCCAAACACAGUCUUCUAAGUAAUAUUUUAAGACAUAGUUACAGAAUUUGUUUACCACAAUAUAUAUCAAAUUUAACAAACUUCAAAUUUUAUUAUAUGUAUCAGAUAUAUAUUAACACCACAGUGUAAUGUAUCAUUGACAAAAAAGACUAACUAACUACUUAAGACAAUUACAUGUAUAAUGUAUGUAUCGAUCACAAGCCAAACAUCGCAACAACAACAUGUUAAAUGUAUCAAGUAAAAAUACAAUACUUAUCAAUUAAAACAAGAUAAUAAUGUAUCAUGAUUGAUCUAUCAAUUAUACCUAUUGUUUUCUUUGUUUCAAUUAUUGUAGUAUUCAUUAUUGCUACUAUUCUUUUCAUCAUUUUUUUUUCCGCUUGACAUCUUCACUGUUGUAUUUUCUUUUCAUAUCCUUUUUGAUAUGCUUUACUCGAGUUGAGAGUCCCGCAGAAACUCUGCCCUCCCUAAACUUCUUCACAAUUCUUUUUCAUAUUAGAGAGUGCAACUUGGUGGGCAGUGGCAAAGUUAAACAUCUAGUGAGAGUAUAGAUAAACCAAGAAUAUAAGAUACAAAUAAGAAGAGAUGAUUUUCAAAGGCUGGCAGUUAGCCUAAUAGAGUUGAUAAACUGACCCCUUUGUUUGAUCAUGAAAAGUAUGACAAGAUACAAAUAGGGACCAUAUAUGAUAAUGUCAUUGCAUUAAAGUAUAUGUGAUGCAUUAUUUGUCAAAAAAAAAAAAAAGAAAGAAAGAA